CAGUAGCCGCGGUAAAACGGAGGGGGCUAGCGUUGUUCGGAAUUACUGGGCGUAAAGCGCACGUAGGCGGCUUGGUAAGUUAGAGGUGAAAGCCCGGAGCUCAACUCCGGAAUUGCCUUUAAGACUGCCGAGCUAGCAGGUGAGAGAGGUAAGUGGAAUUCCGAGUGUAGAGGUGAAAUUCGUAGAUAUUCGGAAGAACACCAGUGGCGAAGGCGGCUUACUGGCUCAUACUGGACGCUGAGGUGCGAAAGCGUGGGGAGCAAACAGGAUUAGAUACCCGGGUAGUCCCUGUCUCUUAUAC
rnacentral:rRNA from 1 species